rnacentral:rRNA from 1 species
AUUGAACGCUGGCGGCAGGCUUAACACAUGCAAGUCGAGCGGAGAGAGGUAGCUUGCUACUGAUCUUAGCGGCGGACGGGUGAGUAAUGCUUAGGAAUCUGCCUAUUAGUGGGGGACAACAUUUCGAAAGGAAUGCUAAUACCGCAUACGUCCUACGGGAGAAAGCAGGGGAUCUUCGGACCUUGCGCUAAUAGAUGAGCCUAAGUCGGAUUAGCUAGUUGGUGGGGUAAAGGCCUACCAAGGCGACGAUCUGUAGCGGGUCUGAGAGGAAGAUCCGCCACACUGGGACUGAGACACGGCCCAGACUCCUACGGGAGGCAGCAGUGGGGAAUAUUGGACAUUGGGCGCAAGCCUGAUCCAGCCAUGCCGCGUGUGUGAAGAAGGCCUUAUGGUUGUAAAGCACUUUAAGCGAGGAGGAGGCUACUUUAGAUAAUACCUAGAGAUAGUGGACGUUACUCGCAGAAUAAGCACCGGCUAACUCUGUGCCAGCCGCCGCCGUAAGAC